GACACGCUGGCGGCGUGCCUAACACAUGCAAGUCGAUCGGAGCAGCAAUGCUUAGAGGCGAACGGGUGAGGAAAACGUAGUAACCAACCCUUUAGACUGGGAUAGCCACUGGAAACGGUGGGUAAUACCGGAUAAGCUCGAGAGAGGAAAGGCAGAGAAGCGCUAAGGACCGACCUGCGCCCAUCAGAUAGUUGGUGAGGUAAAGGCUUACCAAGUCAAAGACGGGAAACCGACGUGAGAGCGUGUACGGUCACAAGGGCACUGAGAGACGGGCCCUACUCCUACGGGAGGCAGCAGUGGGGAAUAUUGGACAAUGGGCGCAAGCCUGAUCCAGCCAUUCCGCGUGCAGGAUGAAGGCCUUCGGGUUGUAAACUGCUUUUGUACGGAACGAAACGGUCUGCCCUAAUACGGCAGGCUAAUGACGGUACCGUAAGAAUAAGCACCGGCUAACUACGUG
rnacentral:rRNA from 1 species